rnacentral:rRNA from 1 species
UUAAGCGAAUAAGCGUACACGGUGGAUGCCCUGGCAGUCAGAGGCGAUGAAGGACGUGCUAAUCUGCGAUAAGCGUCGGUAAGGUGAUAUGAACCGUUAUAACCGGCGAUUUCCGAAUGGGGAAACCCAGUGUGAUUCGUCACACUAUCAUUAACUGAAUCCAUAGGUUAAUGAGGCGAACCGGGGGAACUGAAACAUCUAAGUACCCCGAGGAAAAGAAAUCAACCGAGAUUCCCCCAGUAGCGGCGAGCGAACGGGGAGGAGCCCAGAGCCUGAAUCAGUGUGUGUGUUAGUGGAAGCGUCUGGAAAGGCGCGCGAUACAGGGUGACAGCCCCGUACACAAAAAUGCACAUGCUGUGAGCUCGAUGAGUAGGGCGGGACACGUGGUAUCCUGUCUGAAUAUGGGGGGACCAUCCUCCAAGGCUAAAUACUCCUGACUGACCGAUAGUGAACCAGUACCGUGAGGGAAAGGCGAAAAGAACCCCGGCGAGGGGAGUGAAAAAGAACCUGAAACCGUGUACGUACAAGCAGUGGGAGCACAGAGCAAUCUGUGUGACUGCGUACCUUUUGUAUAAUGGGUCAGCGACUUAUAUUCUGUAGCAAGGUUAACCGAAUAGGGGAGCCGAAGGGAAACCGAGUCUUAACUGGGCGUUAAGUUGCAAGGUAUAGACCCGAAACCCGGUGAUCUAGCCAUGGGCAGGUUGAAGGUUGGGUAACACUAACUGGAGGACCGAACCGACUAAUGUUGAAAAAUUAGCGGAUGACUUGUGGCUGGGGGUGAAAGGCCAAUCAAACCGGGAGAUAGCUGGUUCUCCCCGAAAGCUAUUUAGGUAGCGCCUCGUGAAUUCAUCUCCGGGGGUAGAGCACUGUUUCGGCAAGGGGGUCAUCCCGACUUACCAACCCGAUGCAAACUGCGAAUACCGGAGAAUGUUAUCACGGGAGACACACGGCGGGUGCUAACGUCCGUCGUGAAGAGGGAAACAACCCAGACCGCCAGCUAAGGUCCCAAAGUCAUGGUUAAGUGGGAAACGAUGUGGGAAGGCCCAGACAGCCAGGAUGUUGGCUUAGAAGCAGCCAUCAUUUAAAGAAAGCGUAAUAGCUCACUGGUCGAGUCGGCCUGCGCGGAAGAUGUAACGGGGCUAAACCAUGCACCGAAGCUGCGGCAGCGACGCUGAUGCGUUGUUGGGUAGGGGAGCGUUCUGUAAGCCUGUGAAGGUGUGCUGUGAGGCAUGCUGGAGGUAUCAGAAGUGCGAAUGCUGACAUAAGUAACGAUAAAGCGGGUGAAAAGCCCGCUCGCCGGAAGACCAAGGGUUCCUGUCCAACGUUAAUCGGGGCAGGGUGAGUCGACCCCUAAGGCGAGGCCGAAAGGCGUAGUCGAUGGGAAACAGGUUAAUAUUCCUGUACUUGGUGUUACUGCGAAGGGGGGACGGAGAAGGCUAUGUUGGCCGGGCGACGGUUGUCCCGGUUUAAGCGUGUAGGCUGGUUUUCCAGGCAAAUCCGGAAAACUAAGGCUGAGGCGUGAUGACGAGGCACUACGGUGCUGAAGCAACAAAUGCCCUGCUUCCAGGAAAAGCCUCUAAGCAUCAGGUAACAUCAAAUCGUACCCCAAACCGACACAGGUGGUCAGGUAGAGAAUACCAAGGCGCUUGAGAGAACUCGGGUGAAGGAACUAGGCAAAAUGGUGCCGUAACUUCGGGAGAAGGCACGCUGAUAUGUAGGUGAAGUCCCUCGCGGAUGGAGCUGAAAUCAGUCGAAGAUACCAGCUGGCUGCAACUGUUUAUUAAAAACACAGCACUGUGCAAACACGAAAGUGGACGUAUACGGUGUGACGCCUGCCCGGUGCCGGAAGGUUAAUUGAUGGGGUCAGCGCAAGCGAAGCUCUUGAUCGAAGCCCCGGUAAACGGCGGCCGUAACUAUAACGGUCCUAAGGUAGCGAAAUUCCUUGUCGGGUAAGUUCCGACCUGCACGAAUGGCGUAAUGAUGGCCAGGCUGUCUCCACCCGAGACUCAGUGAAAUUGAACUCGCUGUGAAGAUGCAGUGUACCCGCGGCAAGACGGAAAGACCCCGUGAACCUUUACUAUAGCUUGACACUGAACAUUGAGCCUUGAUGUGUAGGAUAGGUGGGAGGCUUUGAAGUGUGGACGCCAGUCUGCAUGGAGCCGACCUUGAAAUACCACCCUUUAAUGUUUGAUGUUCUAACGUUGACCCGUAAUCCGGGUUGCGGACAGUGUCUGGUGGGUAGUUUGACUGGGGCGGUCUCCUCCUAAAGAGUAACGGAGGAGCACGAAGGUUGGCUAAUCCUGGUCGGACAUCAGGAGGUUAGUGCAAUGGCAUAAGCCAGCUUGACUGCGAGCGUGACGGCGCGAGCAGGUGCGAAAGCAGGUCAUAGUGAUCCGGUGGUUCUGAAUGGAAGGGCCAUCGCUCAACGGAUAAAAGGUACUCCGGGGAUAACAGGCUGAUACCGCCCAAGAGUUCAUAUCGACGGCGGUGUUUGGCACCUCGAUGUCGGCUCAUCACAUCCUGGGGCUGAAGUAGGUCCCAAGGGUAUGGCUGUUCGCCAUUUAAAGUGGUACGCGAGCUGGGUUUAGAACGUCGUGAGACAGUUCGGUCCCUAUCUGCCGUGGGCGCUGGAGAACUGAGGGGGGCUGCUCCUAGUACGAGAGGACCGGAGUGGACGCAUCACUGGUGUUCGGGUUGUCAUGCCAAUGGCACUGCCCGGUAGCUAAAUGCGGAAGAGAUAAGUGCUGAAAGCAUCUAAGCACGAAACUUGCCCCGAGAUGAGUUCUCCCUGACUCCUUGAGAGUCCUGAAGGAACGUUGAAGACGACGACGUUGAUAGGCCGGGUGUGUAAGCGCAGCGAUGCGUUGAGCUAACCGGUACUAAUGAACCGUGAGGCUUAACCUU